AUGUGGAGUUACUUGUCAAUAGCUGGCGAUGAAACUUUUAAACGCCUUUAAGGGCUGAGAAGGUAAAAAUUAGAAGUCUGCAGACUGCAACGUAAAUCGAUUUCAACACGUUAUGGCUUCUCGAAUAUAUUUAGUUUCCGAUUGAAAUGAGAAUAAACUGAACUUAUAUAUAAAGUGUUUACAAUUAACUUUUUAAACUAGAAAUACUCCAAAGGAGGUUCUCCAAACGCAAGUUAAGCAAAGUCGAUAAAUGUUAAUAUCUUUUAUAUUAUGUUUUAGAUAUAAAAAAAAAUUUAUGUGACUUUAAUAUUUAUGUUAUAAUUGUAAAUUGCAAUCUUAAAAGGAUUUUAUUAUUACUUCA